rnacentral:rRNA from 1 species
UACAGAGGUCUCAAGCGUUGUUCGGAUUCAUUGGGCGUAAAGGGUGCGUAGGCGGCGCGGUAAGUCGGGUGUGAAAUCUUGGAGCUUAACUCCGAAACUGCAUUCGAUACUGCCGUGCUUGAGGACUGGAGAGGAGACUGGAAUUUACGGUGUAGCGGUGAAAUGCGUAGAUAUCAGGAAGAACACCCGUGGCGAAAGCGGCUCUCUGGAACGGUACUGACGCUGAGACGCGAAAGCGUGGGGAGCGAACAGG